CAGAACGUGGCUAAAACAGGAAAGCACCUCCCUUACACCGAGAAGAUAUCCGUGCAAGUCGGAUCGUUCUGA
rnacentral:tRNA from 1 species